UGGUCAUGAUGUUUGUUGCAGG
rnacentral:misc_RNA from 1 species